UACGGAGGAUGCGAGCGUUAUCCGGAUUUAUUGGGUUUAAAGGGUGCGUAGGCGGAUCGUUAAGUCAGUGGUCAAAAUGAGGGGCUCAACCCCUUCCCGCCAUUGAAACUGGCGAUCUUGAGUGGAAGAGAAGUAUGCGGAAUGCGUGGUGUAGCGGUGAAAUGCAUAGAUAUCACGCAGAACCCCGAUUGCGAAGGCAGCAUGCCGGCUUCCUACUGACGCUGAAGCACGAAAGCGUGGGGAUCGAACAGG
rnacentral:rRNA from 1 species